rnacentral:rRNA from 1 species
GGGUUUAGACCGUCGNGAGACAGGUUAGUUUUACCCUACUGAUGAAUGUUAUCGCAAUAGUAAUUGAACUUAGUACGAGAGGAACCGUUCAUUCAGAUAAUUGGUUUUUGCGGCUGUCUGAUCAGGCAUUGCCGCGAAGCUACCAUCUGCUGGAUAAUGGCUGAACGCCUCUAAGUCAGAAUCCAUGCUAGAAAGCGAUGAUUUCUUGCCCUCGCACAUUUUAGUUGGAUACGAAUAAGGCACUCUGUGUCGCUGAACCAUAGCAGGCUGGCAAUGGUGCUUUUAACGGAAAGGUUUUAAGUGCUUGCCGGUGGAUAGCAAUGUCAUUAUGCGCGAGGAUAAAUCCUUUGCAUACGACUUAAAUGUACAACGGGGUAUUGUAAGCAGUAGAGUAGCCUUGUUGUUACGAUCUGCUGAGAUUAAGCCUCAGUUGUCCGAUUUG